rnacentral:misc_RNA from 1 species
GCUGCUAAGAUAACAGAGAGGAAAUCAGAAUUAGCAAAACUUGAAGCAAUAGACUGUGGAAAACCUCUGGAAGAAGCUGCAUGGGACAUGGAUGAUGUUGCUGGGUGCUUCGAGUACUAUGCAGAUCUUGCCGAAGGGUUGGAUGCAAAGCAAAAAGCUCCUGUUUCUCUUCCCAUGGAUACAUUCAAGAGCUAUGUUCUUAAAGAACCCAUUGGAGUUGUUGGGUUGAUUACUCCCUGGAACUAUCCUCUAUUGAUGUCUACAUGGAAAGUUGCACCUGCCUUGGCUGCUGGGUGUGCUGCAAUCCUGAAGCCAUCAGAACUGGCAUCUGUCACCUCUUUGGAAUUGGGCGAAAUCUGUAAAGAUGUUGGUCUUCCAUCUGGUGUUUUGAAUAUUCUGACAGGAUUUGGCCCUGAAGCUGGUGCUCCUCUAGCAUCUCAUCCUCACGUUGACAAGAUUGCAUUUACUGGGAGUGGUGCUACUGGAAGCAAGAUUAUGACAGCAGCUGCUCAACUUGUCAAGCCUGUUACCAUGGAACUUGGUGGAAAAAGUCCAAUUGUUGUUUUUGAUGAUGUCG